UACGUAGGGGGCAAGCGUUGUCCGGAGUUACUGGGCGUAAAGCGCACGCAGGCGGUCUCUUAAGUUUGGAGUGACAGUUGGUGGCUUAACUGCCAAAGUGCUUCGAAAACUGAGAGACUUGAGGGCUUCAGAGGGACACGGAAUUCCGGGUGGAGUGGUGAAAUGCGUAGAGAUCCGGAGGAACACCAAAGGCGAAGGCAGUGUCCUGGGGAGUACCUGACGCUCAGGUGCGAAAGCCAGGAGAGCGAACGGG
rnacentral:rRNA from 1 species